UGCCUCAUUGUGUAACGGUAGCACAACUGACUCUGGAUCAGUUUGUCAAGGUUCGAAUCCUUGUGAGGCAACCA
rnacentral:tRNA from 2 species